rnacentral:rRNA from 1 species
AUUGAACGCUGGCGGCAUGCCUCACACAUGCAAGUCGAACGGUAACGGGCCUUCGGGUGCCGACGAGUGGCGAACGGGUGAGUAAUACAUCGGAACGUGCCCGAUCGUGGGGGAUAACGAGGCGAAAGCUUUGCUAAUACCGCAUACGAUCUACGGAUGAAAGCAGGGGACCGCAAGGCCUUGCGCGGACGGAGCGGCCGAUGGCAGAUUAGGUAGUUGGUGGGAUAAAAGCUUACCAAGCCGACGAUCUGUAGCUGGUCUGAGAGGAUGAUCAGCCACACUGGGACUGAGACACGGCCCAGACUCCUACGGGAGGCAGCAGUGGGGAAUCUUGGACAAUGGGCGCAAGCCUGAUCCAGCCAUGCCGCGUGCAGGAUGAAGGCCUUCGGGUUGUAAACUGCUUUUGUACGGAACGAAAAGCCUUCUUUUAAUACAGGAGGGUCAUGACGGUACCGUAAGAAUAAGCACCGGCUAACUACGUG